rnacentral:rRNA from 1 species
CGUUAGCGGCGGACGGGUGAGUAACACGUGGAUAACCUACCUAUAAGACUGGGAUAACUUCGGGAAACCGGAGCUAAUACCGGAUAAUAUAUUGAACCGCAUGGUUCAAUGGUGAAAGACGGUUUUGCUGUCACUUAUAGAUGGAUCCGCGCCGCAUUAGCUAGUUGGUAAGGUAACGGCUUACCAAGGCAACGAUGCGUAGCCGACCUGAGAGGGUUAUCGGCCACACUGGAACUUAGACACGGUCCAGACUCCUACGGGAGGCAGCAGUC